CGAAAGUCAGAGGAUCGAAGGCGAUCAGAUACCGCCCUAGUUCUGACCGUAAACGAUGCCAGCCAGCGAUCCGGCUGCGUUCCUUAAAUGACGCGCCGGGCAGCUUCCCUGAAAAGAGAGCUUUUGGGUUCCGGGGGGAGUAUGGUUGCAAAGCUGAAACUUAAAGGAAUUGACGGAAGCGCACACAAGAAAUGGGGCCUGCGGCUUAAUUUGACUCAACACGGUGCAACUCUCCCGGCCCGGACACAGGAAGGAUUGACAGAUUGAGAGCUCUUUCUUGAUUCUGUGACAGGUGGUGCAUGGCCGUUUCUAGUUGGUGGAGUGAUUUGUCUGCUUUAUUGCGAUAACGAGCGAGACUCUAGCCUGCUAACUAGGCGCCCCUCACUCUAUUGCGAGGGGUCGUCUUCUUAGAGGGACAAGCGGUGUUCAGCCGCACGAAACGGAGCAAAAACAGGUCAGGAUGCCCUUAGAUGUUCGGGGCCGCACGCGCGCCACAUUGAAGGAGACGACGUGUUUUCUCCUGCGCCGAGAGGCGCGGGUAAUCCGUUGAAACUCCUUCGUGCUGGGGAUUGGGACUUGCAAUUGUUUCCCAUGAACGAGGAAUUCCUAGUAAGCAUGAGUCAUCAGCUCGUGUUGAUUACGUCCCUGCGCUUUGUGCACACCGCCCGUCGCUAUUAUCGAUGAAUUUUGGAGUGAGAUCAUCGGACUGGUCUCCUUUUUGGCUUUACGUGUCGAUGGGGAGUGCUGGAAAGAUGACCGAACUUGAAUAUUUAGAGAAAAUAAAAGUCGUAACAAGG
rnacentral:rRNA from 1 species